rnacentral:rRNA from 1 species
GUCCCUACGGGGCGCAGCAGUGGGGGAUAUUGCACAAUGGGGGGAACCCUGAUGCAGCGACGCCGCGUGGGUGAAGAAGCGCCUCGGCGCGUAAAGCCCUGUCAGCAGGGAAGAAAAUGACGGUACCUGAAGAAGAAGCCCCGGCUAACUACGUGCCAGCAGCCGCGGUAAUACGUAGGGGGCAAGCGUCAUCCGGAUUUACUGGGUGUAAAGGGGGCGCAGACGGCGAUGCAAGCCAGGAGUGAAAGCCCGGGGCCCAACCCCGGGACUGCGCUGGGAACGGCGUGGCUGGAGUGGCGGAGGGG